rnacentral:rRNA from 1 species
UACGUAGGGCGCAAGCGUUGUCCGGAAUUAUUGGGCGUAAAGAGCUCGUAGGUGGCGCGUCGCGUCUGCUGUGAAAGCCCAUGGCUUAACUGUGGGUCUGCGGUGGAUACGGGCAGGCUAGAGGCUGGUAGGGGCAAGCGGAAUUCCUGGUGUAGCGGUGAAAUGCGCAGAUAUCAGGAGGAACACCGGUGGCGAAGGCGGCUUGCUGGGCCAGUUCUGACGCUGAGGAGCGAAAGCGUGGGGAGCGAACAGG